rnacentral:tRNA from 1 species
UUUUAGGGGAUUUUAAUCAUUUUUGAAUUCUAAAUUCAAUGCACUUUAUCUGCCACCCUAAA